rnacentral:rRNA from 1 species
CACCGGCGCCACAAGUGGGGGCCACGAUUAUUGGGCCUAAAGCGUUCGUAGCCGGUCUGAAAAAUCUUCUGUGAAAUCGUCUGGCUUAACCAUACGACGUGCAGAAGACACUAUCAGACUAGAGAUCGGGAGGAGCUGAGGGUAUUCUUGGGGGAGCGGUAAAAUGUUAUAAUCCCUUGAAGACCACCUGUGGCGAAGGCGCUCAGCUAGAACGAAUCUGACGGUGAGGGACGAAAGCCAGGGGAGCGAUCCG